rnacentral:antisense_RNA from 1 species
CUUGAUCGACCCGAGCAGCAACGGCCGCUCGCGAUCCUGUCCAUAGGUUGCGAGCAGCGCCUGCGCCUC